AGAAUUCGGAGCAGCGCACUCCUCCUCCCAGCGCCCUCCGAUAGACUGACAACACUCCUCCUCCCAGGUGUCAGUCACCUACAUGACGCCCGCCGGAUCCUCCCCCGGUGGGCGUUUUGU
rnacentral:sRNA from 1 species